rnacentral:rRNA from 1 species
CGUAAGCAACCUGCCCGAAAGACCGGGACAACAGUUCGAAAGGACUGCUAAUACCGGAUGUGCCCACUUCUUCGCAUGUUGAGGUGAGUAAAGCGAAGCAAUUCGGCUUUCGGAGGGGCUUGCGGCCUAUCAGCUAGAUGGCGGGGUAGUGGCCCACCAUGGCGACGACGGGUAGCUGGUCUGAGAGGAUGGUCAGCCGGACUGGGACUGAGAUACGGCCCAG